UUUUUUGUCAACGGAUUUUAUUUAGAGUUCAAAAGAGCCAAUUGUGAGGGAAAUUGUUUACAAAAGUGACAUGAAGCGGUUCAGUACGAAUUUUUUGUGCCAAUUUGUCCGCCUUUACAUUUGCAGUUCGAGAAAUUAAAGAUAAAGAAAAUUUUGUGAAUUCCUCUUUAUCGGUUUUUAAUUCCUCCAAAUAAGUUGAAAACGCUGGUCAUUCGGUUGGAGAAGACACCAUCUUCACCAUGUCUGAACAGUCUGUAAAAAAUGCUACUUCUUGGUUGUCGGCACCAAUCAUACACUUCAUCGCCCAAAGUAGAGCUUCGACUUCUGUAUGGAGUGGAGAAAGACUUCUACGAAGAUUAGCAGCUCCCAUGGCUGGCGAGUCUCCAUUUGAUGAUGUGCAAAACCACCAUAAUCAAGAAAACUUAUAGCUUCCUUUUCAAGAUCCGUCCACAAAACAACGCAAACCAGAAUAAAUAUUAUCGUGUGAUAUAUUCUGGACCCAAAUUUGUUUUUCCGAUCCCAUGGAACCGUUAUUUUCGGAACUGAGCUCAAAUUGAGCUAACUACCAUGAUUGUGCCUCUUUUUCUGCUAAACAUAAUACGUCUAACGGAUCUUUAUCCACAUUUUCAAAUAUUUUUUCGUUCCUUGCUUUCCAAAUAUACCAGAUUAUCCAUAGAAAUGAAGAUGAAUCAAAUUCUGAAGGUAUUCUUGAAAAUAAGUGAUCCAAAUUCGUAAAAAUAAAAUCCGUAGGAAAAAUUCCUGGAACUGUAGAAAUCUUUGAGAGAGCUCAUAUCUGUCUAGCCGGAUGACAUUGGAACAGAGAAUGGUUUAUUGUUUCCGUAAUAGCGCCACAUCUGACACAUCCUGUAUCACAAUUUAUACCUCUUCUCCGUAAAUUCUCCGUGACAGGGACACAACCUGACAAUGUUUGCCACAAAAAAUGUCGUAACUUAGGUGGACAUUGCACUUUCAAGCAUGUGCUUUUAGAACGUUUAUUUCAGGACCAAUGAAAGAUGAAUUAUCCUCCAAUUUUUCUAACCUUGCUGUAUGAUAACCAGAUUUAACUGUAUAUUUUCCGGAUUUUGUGAAAUGCCAACCUAGAGUAUCCUCUUUUGUUGACGUACCCAAGUGCAAUGCACUUAUUAGCUGGACAUCUUCCGGAUCAAAGAGCUCAUUCAAAAGAUCAAUAUUCCAAAAAUUUGACCGGCUAUCUAUUAAAUGUUGGACUUUUAAAGAUGGGUCAAUAAUUGAACCAUUACUUAUUGCUGGUCUCAGGAAUUGAGCCGGAAUCCACGGAUCCUCCCAAACUGAGAUAGAUGCCCCUGAACCAACUCUUUUAAUAAGUCCUUUAUUAACCAGAGAUCUAGCUGAACAAAGACUUCUCCAUCCAUAAGACGGAGAGUAUAAUUUUAUAUUUUCCAAAGAAUUGGAUUUUCGAUAAUAUCUCCCUUUGAAAACCUUUGCAAAAAGAGAAUCUGUAACCGUUAUCAAACGCCAUAACUGUUUCGAUAGUAUAGCUGAAUUAAAAUCAUCUAUACUCCGAAAACCUAAACCACCUUCCAAUUUGCUAAUACACAAUUUAUUCCAAGCCAUCUAGUGCAUACCUCUAAAUUCACCAUUCGAAUUCCACGAAAGUCACAUAUAGAAUUUGAUAUUAUUAUAUACCAAAAAUAUGUUCAUAAUACAUGCUAAU
rnacentral:sRNA from 1 species